rnacentral:rRNA from 1 species
AUUGAACGCUGGCGGCAGGCCUAACACAUGCAAGUCGAACGAGUGGCGGACGGGUGAGUAAUGUCUGGGAAACUGCCUGAUGGAGGGGGAUAACUACUGGAAACGGUAGCUAAUACCGCAUACCAUCAGAUGGGCCCAGAUGGGAUUAGCUAGUUGGUGGGGGAAAGGCUCACCAAGGCGACGCUCCCUAGCUGGUCUGAGAGGAUGACCAGCCACACUGGAACUGAGACACGGUCCAGACUCCUACGGGAGGCAGCAGUAGGGAAUAUUGCGCAAUGGGCGAAAGCCUGAUGCAGCCAUGCCGCGUGUAUGAAGAAGGCCUUCGGGUUGUAAAGUACUUUCAGCGGGGAGGCGUUACCCGCAGAAGAAGCCCCGGCUAACUCCGUGCCAGCAGCCGCGGUAAUAC